CUUAAGUGGGGGAUAACAUUUGGAAACAGAUGCUAAUACCGCAUAGAUCCAAGAACCGCAUGGUUCUUGGCUGAAAGAUGGCGUAAGCUAUCGCUUUUGGAUGGACCCGCGGCGUAUUAGCUAGUUGGUGAGGUGAUGGCUCACCAAGGCGAUGAUACGUAGCCGAACUGAGAGGUUGAUCGGCCACAUUGGGACUGAGACACGGCCCAAACUCCUACGGGAGGCAGCAGUAGGGAAUCUUCCACAAUGGACGCAAGUCUGAUGGAGCAACGCCGCGUGAGUGAUUAAGGCUUUCGGGUCGUAAAACUCUGUUGUUGGAGAAGAAUGGUCGGCAGAGUAACUGUUGUCGGCGUGACGGUAUCCAACCAGAAAGCCACGGCUAACUACGUGCCAGCAGCCGCGGUAAUACGUAGGUGGCAAGCGUUAUCCGGAUUUAUUGGGCGUAAAGCGAGCGCAGGCGGUUUUUUAAGUCUGAUGUGAAAGCCCUCGGCUUAACCGAGGAAGCGCAUCGGAAACUGGGAAACUUGAGUGCAGAAGAGGACAGUGGAACUCCAUGUGUAGCGGUGAAAUGCGUAGAUAUAUGGAAGAACACCAGUGGCGAAGGCGGCUGUCUGGUCU
rnacentral:rRNA from 1 species